GGCCGGGUGGCGGAAUCGGCAGACGCUGGGGACUUAAAAUCCCCUCCCCGAAAGGGGGUACGGGUUCGAGCCCCGUCCCGGCCA
rnacentral:tRNA from 1 species